UCUUUUUGCUUUUCCUCACUGUAGACAAGUAUCUGUUGGAAAAAAAAAAACAAUUUGUGAGAGUCCCCAGAAAGCGAGUAAGCUCCACAAAGAAACUUUCAUAGCAGAUUUCCUGAAGAAAAACUUAAUGUGUCAAAACCACUCAAGUUCACAUGAACACUCUCCCUCCGGUUUGAAGACAUCUGAAAAGCAGCUGCCACGGCUGAGACACUGAAGCAGCUGGAAGCCAUAAAUCACGAGGGUGAGGGAUUCUGGGUUGCACGUUGGCAUGUGGUCUGUCAGGCCAGAAAAAUAGAGACAUAAAAGAGCCAAAGGUCGGAGGUAUGUAGAGUUUAGAAGCCUGAACUUGUGCUAUAUUUCAUGCAAGGAAACCUUGGCAUUGGUGGUUCUUUCCAAAUGCUCUUUCACUUUGCGGAUACGGCACUUGGUUAGAUCUUUACUCCUCUGAAUGGGCUGAAUUCAGCUUCCUGCUAUUCACCCUGCUACUAUUAACUUGAUCAUGUGCUUCCAUGCCAUCAUGCAGGGGACCAAUUCCUUCAAGGGAACCUGGACUAAAUAAGAACUUUCCAGUUACAUCAAAAAUCCCUGACCCUUCUGAAACAAUUUAUGUUACCUUAAACUUUAAAAUGAAAGCAAUAUUUGAGAUGAUUUGGUUGUUCCUUUCACAUGACUCUAAAAACUAUCCACUCCCCUGGGCCGAACCCUAUUUCCCAAUUUCCUUACCCCCCAGGCUGGACCUCAUCAUAGAGAUAUUUGCCCAGGGGCCUGAGUAAUAACAGACCCGUUUAUUGAUUCAGAGCAGGAAAGUGAGAAGAAUGGCUUUCCUGGAAACUACCAACAGCUACACAGUUAAUUUUCCUGAGCAGUGUGUGGUAAUGACCCCCAAUGAUGGGAAGUUCCAAGUUCCAAAACACAGCACCAGGCUGGUGGAGAGGGAUCAAUGUCUACUGGCAAAGUGAAGGUACAUACAACUGAAGCAUGAUUCCAAAAUCAAUCCCAGAAUGUUCCUGCCCAAACUGCCAAUGUUAGAACAGAGAAUUCACCAAAUGUCUUUCAAUUUAAAAAAGAAAAGCAAUUUUCCAGAUACCACAGUUGACUUAUAUACUCAUGACAAAUUUUCCUAUGGAUUUAGGAGAACAAUGGAUUUAAGGACAAAAAUCAAUCAAUCAGUCAGAGAAACCUACCUACAUGGUAGGGAAGACUAACUGUUCUUCUCCUUGUCAGGGCAUAUAGACACAAGUAAUCUUUCCUUAGGAAUCACCUAGACAAUUUCACCAACUUUUCACCUUACAUUGGAGAUAAGAUCUAUGUUUACAAUAAAAAUGAAAGUUUACCUAUUUGUAAAGGCUUUUUAACAUUUUAUUCUCCAAGUGAUUUUUAUUUAGAGUUGUUUUAUUUGGGCUACUUGCUUUUUUGUUUGUUUCUAUGUUAAACAAAAAAGUUAUCAAAACCAGUGACAUGUACCACCAUACAGAAUGAUGACUUCACAUUUAAAAAUACCUAUGCUCAUUUAUUUUCUUUUGUAGAACCAAUUUAUUUAUUUGUAAAUUAAUCUGAGAAGUAGAGAAGAGGUAAAUUUAUCCAACGUAGCAUGACUUAGCAGAGCUGAGAUAAAACACAGAUUCUACCUCUGGGAGAGAUCAUGGGAUCAAAGCUAUCUCCUUCCCUGAACAGAUUGUAAAACUGAUCUGAAGCAAAACUGAAGUUUGUGAGGUAGGUGGUGGGGCUCCUACACUCCUUUUCUAGGCUCUUGUCCCCUCACAGGUUCUCACCCCCAGGUCUUUACUGUUCUCCAUAUGGAACCAGGUAAAUAGACAGUAAUUGCUUAAGAUCUAGAGCUAGGCUAGCUGGGUUCAAAUUCCCACGCUGUCAUUUACUGGGACGUUUUAUUGUCUGCAGAAGGGGGGAUAAUUAUAGAAUCUACUUCAUCAUACUUUUAUGAGAAUUAAAUGAAUCAGUAUAUAUAAAAGGCCUUAGGACUGUACCUGGCACCUGGUAAGCACUCUAGAAACUCUGGUUCUUCUGGCCACUAUGAUCCCCUCCUGCUAUUUCUCCAACCCCUCAUGUUACCCAGCUCAGGACCCCUUCAAGAUAGAUCAUCCCCAUCCAGUACCACCCACAGGUUUCAAAUUAUCUGACAGUUUAUCUCAGAAACUCCACCUUAAGCAGUAGGACGUGGAAGAAAGAAAUCUAAUAAAUACCUUUGCAGGUAAAGAAAAGAUGACCUACAACAGUUCAACUUGUCAUCCCAUCCAGGGUUAUUUGUAUUUAAAAAUAAGUUGCUCAGAGGCAAGAGUGAAGUCCCUUCACAUUUCCAGAUUUAACUCUAUGGAUUCAACUAUUCAAUGCCUGGUCUCAAACCUGAGCAUUGUCAGUGGGUCAAAUUUGACAUCAGUGUGCUAGGUGGGGACAUGGGGAGCUAGUUGGAGACAGCUACUGAGUGGACUUAGCAGACUGGAUUGCCUUACUCGUCUUAACGCUGUGCCCCCAUGAAAGAUGGCCAACUACUGGAGAUUUUGUUGGGAGUGAAGAGAAGGUAAUGGUUGGAAGAAAGUGAUGGAUUUUCAUUCCUCCAAAAGUAGUCUUAUGGGGAGAUUGCUGUAUUUUGCCCAGACUGGGACAACCAGGUAGAAAAGACAGUCUUGUGAGCUUGCCACUGAGGUGUUCCUCUUUAAAUGAGCCAGAGAUGGUUUUGUACCUAGUUUCUCCCACACUGAAAUGAAAAUGGACAUAAGCAAGUCAUAUAUAAUUAUUAGUCUUCUUAACACUUAAUUAGUGUAGCUAAAAAGAAUAAAUUAUGUAAUAUCCUUCUGUGGGAAGCUGUAAAAAUAGGACAGAGCACUACCUUUGGGUACUUUCAUAGCUACAGUGUGCCUGAAAGAUUUGUUUCUAGAGAGUUUUCCCCUCUGCUGUAAGUCUGUGGUUCUGUCAUUUCAAGUUUUAUUCUUCCAGUUUUUCAUUCACUGCACUGGUGAAUUCAAGCUAGGAAAAAAAA